GAUGAAACUGCAAAGGAGCAGCCUCCCCCGUGCCUUUGCUCCUCUCGCAUGUGUAUUAUAACUGGACCUCACCCACUUGCUCUUCAGGCAAGGUCACAUGCUUGACAGGAGAUCUGCUACCCACAAAACCAGGACUAUCCGUGUAUAGCAGAAGGAUUUCAUCCUCCAGGGUCCAUCUGUAGCAGUUGAUACAGCUGCCAGUGGUCUGUAACUUUACUUUUCACCUCAGGGAUGUAGCAGAGGUUGACAGGAAAGACUGAAAAGUCUCCAUUCUUUUCUUUAAAGAUGCUCACACAGAUGGAUGAAGAACACUAGUCUCCAUGAGAACCAUUGUGGGAAAUUGUGAGUCACUGUGACCUCAAAUAGCAGCAAUAUGCAGACUGGAUGACAUUGACAUUCUCCCCUCAUUACAAGAUUUUUUUUUUUAACUUUUAACAUUCCUGAUAUAGUCUCCAUAACUGGAAUUUCAUUUGACUUCCUGCAUAGAUGUGCACACUUACUUUGUGCUGUACUCCACUGUUACAGUUCCACUGCUCUCUCUGGUUGUCUUAUUCCCACAGUUUCCAGCCCUCUGGCUUCCAGGAAGACCUUAGGGAAGUCCAUGGGAAUUGUGAGAGAAGGCAUCAAAUGCUUCUGGAAAACUCCCAUCAUUCCACAUCCCCAUUUUCUAGUCUUUCUCCAACUGGAGGACAGGAUGGACUGUUUGUUUCUUAUUAUACAAGAAAGGUUUCUAUUGGAGUGUUUGAAAAGCAGUUCCAAAGCAGCUACAAUAGGAAAUGGAGGGUGUUUGUUUGGACAGCACUAAGACUGUGAGCCCAACAGGGCAGAGACUGUCUCUUAUGUGUCUGCAUUUAUACCUACCAUUACCACAAUAAUGAAUUACAACUACCAUUAAUAGAAUCAUAAAUUAAAAUCCUUUUAAUAGAUUUUUUGCUAUUUCCACCUUCCACUCUUCAGUGCUUGUAGAUAUUUAUAGUAAUAUAAUGUUACAACACUACCCUCCUCCCAAUCUUGCCUACGUAUUGAUUGUAUCCGACUACAUUGUAAAUUUGUGAUGCAUCAUGAGACUGCAGUGGCACAAGGGCCAAACCUAAGAUUCCGAUGAAGAAUCGGAGCCCAAAAUCAUCACUGUAUUUGUCCAUAGGAAACCUGUUUCAUACUGCUUAUUAUUCACGCUUUUAAUUCUAGCACUAGCGUAUGGCCAAAUCAGAAUUCAUUUACCCCCUAACACUAUUUCAGUGUUUCCUUUGUCAGGUUUUGCUUUUCUUCUUUGCAAGCCCUAUGACACCCAGUUUGUUAAAUUUAUCCUCUGUAUUUUUAAUGUCUCUUCAUGUUGGCAUUAAAGCCUUCCCAAACAAUUGUGGCAGGGCACCCUUCCCAUACCAUCGCAGUAUAAUAAAUUAUCUUUGAAACAAAUGAUCUCUUUGUACACUACCUCUUCAGGCACUAGUUUACUUCCAAGAUUUUCUGAAAAGAUUACCUACAGUUCACAGGUCUCUCCUUCAGCUCCUAAUGCUGGUCCUUGAAAUACUCUUUGCUUGUAUUCAUUUUGCUUCUGGCCUUAUCCAUUCUAAACACAUGAGAAAUUGUAUUCCAUCUGUUUUCAUGAUCCUGUCCGUGACCUUGUUUGGAAGUAAUAAAGCCAUAUCCUGCAAGCA